UACGUAGGGGGCAAGCGUUAUCCGGAUUUAUUGGGUUUAAAGGGUGCGUAGGCGGCCUAUUAAGUCAGGGGUGAAAGACGGUAGCUUAACUAUCGCAGUGCCUUUGAUACUGAUGGGCUUGAAUAUACUUGAGGUAGGCGGAAUGUGACAAGUAGCGGUGAAAUGCAUAGAUAUGUCACAGAACACCAAUUGCGAAGGCAGCUUACUAAAGUAUGAUUGACGCUGAGGCACGAAAGCGUGGGGAUCAAACAGG
rnacentral:rRNA from 1 species